GUGCAGGCAGCCCACUCAGACUUUUUUCCGUGGUGUGGAAGCCUGUUCUUUCAUUCUUGGCAAUAAAUCUUGUUGUUGCUCGCUGUUUGGGUCCACACUGCCCUUAUGAGCUGUAACACUCACCGUCAAGGUCUGCAGCUUCACCUCUGAAGCCAGCAAGACCACAAACUCACUGGAAAGAACAAACAAUUCUGGAUGUACUGCCUUUAAGAGCUGUAACACUCACUGCAGAGGUCUGCAGCUUCACUCCUGAAAUCAGCAAGACCGCGAACCCACCAGAAGGAAGAAACUCCGGACACAUGUGAAAGUCGUAGUGACCAGAAGUUGGCAUGAGGGGGCUUUUGGGUGCUGGCCGUGUUCGUUUGAGUUCUGCUCACGAGGAGGUUCCAUAUGAAUAUAACUUCUUGCCUAAGUUGGUUUAGUCUUGUAAGAAGACUCUUCAUGUGCCUGGUUCCUUCAAAUUUUAAGGAGAGCUCUUGCAUGGUGGUAGAACCGAGGACAGCCUAGACCUUCUGAUUGUCAACUCCUUGUUCCAUUGUGUCCAAACCUACAUGUCUGAACUCCUCUCAUCAAAGACUUCUCAAAGUUAUUAAUAACUGGGGAACACGUAUUCAGUAAUUACACACAUCAGGCUCCAUGCUUUCUGUGCAGUAUGUAAAUUGAUUCAUUGUCAUACUAAUUAUAAAUGGCUAGUAUUAUUGCUGCUUUACAAAUGAGGCAUAUGACACACAGGGAGCUAAAUAAUUUGCCUAAGGUCACACCACUUGUAAAUGAUGAAGCCAGGACUCAAGGCCAGGUCUGGCCACCCCUGAAUUUAAUAGCUGUAUCCUCUAUAUCUCUGUUUUCUCCCAGACCAAGGUGUCUGUACCUCUCUGCCAACAGAGAAAAGGGUUCAUUCAUUCAUCAAAUGUUUGUUGAGCAUCUAUUGUGACUCAGGCAAUAUCCUAGAUCAAGGAUUGUCAAACUUUUUCUAUAAAGGACAAGAGAGCAAACAUUUUAGGUCUCCUGGGUCAUAUGGUCAGUCACUGUGAUUCAACUCUGCUGUUGUAGUACAAGAUUGUGAAAGCAGCCAUAGAUGAUAUGUCAAUGAAUGAGCAUGGUUGUGUUCCAAUAAAAUGUCACUUGCGAAAGCAGGCUGUGGGCUGGGUUUGGGCCAAGAGUUCUACCCCUGCUCUAGGCAUUGGAGUUAUAAUAGCAAAAAAUAAAAAAAAAUAAAAAUAAAAACACAAAAAUGCCUGCA